CCUACGGGUGGCAGCAGUGGGGAAUAUUGCACAAUGGGGGAAACCCUGAUGCAGCGACGCCGCGUGAAGGAAGAAGUAUUUCGGUGUGUAAACCUCUAUCAGCAGGGAAGAAAAUGACGGUACCUGACUCAGAAACCCCGGCUAACUACGUGCCAGCAGCCGCGGUUAUACGUAGGGGGCAGGCGUUAUCCGGAAUUACUGGGUGUAAAGGGAGCGUAGGCGGCUUAGCAAGUCAGAAGUGAAAGCCCGGGGCCCAACCCCGGGACUGCUUUUGAAACUGUUUAACUAGAGUGCAGGAGAGGUAAGUGGAAUUCCUGGUGUAGCGGUGAAAUGCGUAGAUAUUAGGAGGAACACCGGUGGCGAAGGCGGCUUACUGGACUGUAACUGACGUUGAGGCUCGAAAGCGUGGGGAGCAAACAGGAUUAGAUACCCGAGUAGUC
rnacentral:rRNA from 1 species